UACAGAGGGUGCGAGCGUUAAUCGGAAUUACUGGGCGUAAAGCGUGCGUAGACGGUAAUGUAAGUCAGAUGUGAAAGCCCCGGGCUCAACCUGGGAAUUGCAUUUGAGACUGCAUUGCUUGGGUGCGGAAGAGGGAAGCGGAAUUUCCGGUGUAGCGGUGAAAUGCGUAGAUAUCGGGAAGAACACCCGUGGCGAAGGCAGGUCUCUGGGCCACUACUGACGCUGAGAAGCGAAAGCAUGGGGAGCAAACAGG
rnacentral:rRNA from 1 species